AGGAGCUGUAUGAGAUGAAAAUCUCAUGUACGGUUCUGGAACGGAGAUAUAGGGGUAUAUUUUUUGAUUUGAGAAAGCAACCCUGUAAGAAGGGUAUAUUUGGGAAGGUGGAACAACAACCCUGU
rfam:Ricinus communis cultivar Hale ctg_1100012362804, whole genome shotgun sequence.